AGCAGCGUGGCUCAGUGGAAAGAGCCCGGGCUUGGGAGUCAGAGGUCGUAAGUUCGAAUCUGGCCUCUGCCA
rnacentral:tRNA from 1 species